GAUGAACGCUGGCGGCGUGCCUAAUACAUGCAAGUCGAACGCGCAGCGAGAGGUGCUUGCACCUUUCAAGCGAGUGGCGAACGGGUGAGUAACACGUGGAUAACCUGCCUCAAGGCAGGGGAUAACAUUUGGAAACAGAUGCGAAUACGGAAUAAAACUUAGUAUAGGAUGAUAUCAAGUUAAAAGGAGCUAGGGCGUCACCUGGAGAUGGAUCCGCGGUGCAUUAGUUAGUUGGUGGGGUAAAGGCUUACCAAGACGAUGAUGCAUAGCCGAGUUGAGAGACUGAUCGGCCACAUUGGGACUGAGACACGGCCCAAACUCCUACGGGAGGCUGCAGUAGGGAAUCUUCCACAAUGGGCGCAAGCCUGAUGGAGCAACGCCGCGUGUGUGAUGAAGGCUUUCGGGUCGUAAAGCACUGUUGUAUGGGAAGAAAUGCUAAAAUAGGGAAUGAUUUUAGUUUGACGGUACCAUACCAGAAAGGGACGGCUAAAUACGUGCCAGCAGCCGCGGUAAGAC
rnacentral:rRNA from 1 species